AUGAACAUUAUAUCUGGAUCUUGUUUGAUGCGAGACGGUUAUUCAUUUAAAUCAGAGAAUAAUGGUUGUUCUAUUUAUAUGAGUAAUAUCUUUUAUGGUCACGCACCCUUGAAGAGUGGUCUAUUCUUAUUGAAUCUCGAGAGUAGUGAUACACAUAUUCAUAAUGUUGAAGCCAAAAGAUGCAGAGUUGAUAAUGAUGGUGCAACUUAUUUGUGGCACUGCCGUUUAGGUCAUAUCGGUGUAAAGCGCAUGAAGAAACUCCAUACUGAUGGACUUUUGGAACCACUUGAUUAUGAAUCACUUGGUACUUGCGAACCGUGCCUCAUGGGCAAGAUGACUAAAACACCGUUCUCCGGUACUAUGGAGAGAGCAAUAGAUUUGUUGGAAAUCAUACAUACAGAUGUAUGUGGUCCGAUGAAUAUUGAGGCUCGUGGCGGAUCGUUAUUUUCUCACCUUCACAGAUGA
rnacentral:rRNA from 1 species